rnacentral:rRNA from 1 species
CCUACGGGUGGCAGCAGUGGGGAAUAUUGCACAAUGGGGGAAACCCUGAUGCAGCGACGCCGCGUGAGUGAAGAAGUAAUUAUUUAUUUAAAGCUCUAUCAGUAGGGAAGAAAAUGACGGUACCCGUGUAUGAAGCCCCGUCUAACUACGUUCCAGCAGCCGCGGUAAUACGUAGGGGGCAAGCGUUAUCCGGAUUUACUGGGUGUAAAGGGAGCGUAGACGGCAGUGCAAGUCUGAAGUGAAAGGCGGGGGCUCAACCCCCGGACUGCUCUGGAUACUGUACGGCUGGAGUGCAGGAGAGGUAAGUGGAAUUCCUGGUGUAGCGGUGAAAUGCGUAGAGAUGAGGAAGAACACCAGUGGCGAAGGCAGCUUACUGGGCUGUAACUGACGUUGAGGCUCGAAAGCGUGGGGAGCAAACAGGAUUAGAUACCCCAGUAGUC